rnacentral:rRNA from 1 species
GAUGAACGCUAGCGGCAGGCUUAACACAUGCAAGUCGAGGGGUAUAGGUUUUCGGACCUAGAGACCGGCGCACGGGUGCGUAACGCGUAUGCAAUCUACCUUUUACAGAGGGAUAGCCCAGAGAAAUUUGGAUUAAUACCUCAUAGUAUAGCUGUACCGCAUGGUACUACUAUUAAAGUCACAACGGUAAAAGAUGAGCAUGCGUCCCAUUAGCUUGUUGGUAAGGUAACGGCUUACCAAGGCAACGAUGGGUAGGGGUCCUGAGAGGGAGAUCCCCCACACUGGUACUGAGACACGGACCAGACUCCUACGGGUGGCAG